AGUCGUAACAAGGUAUCCGUAGGUGAACCUGCGGAUGGAUCAUUAUAGGAUGUUGGGUGAUUGUGAGUGGUUUUAUUAUUAGUAGUUUGAGCGGUGUUGGUUGGGGUGCGAAGCAGGAUUGCCAAGCAGGACAGCCAAGCAGGAUUGCCAAGCAGGAUUGCCAAGCAGGAUUGCCAAGCAGGAUUGCCAAGCAAGACAGCCAACAUCGCCUCACGUUAAACUCUAUAAAUCUAACAAUUGCAUACAAAAAAAACAACUUUUAGCAACGGAUCUCUGGGCUCUC
rnacentral:misc_RNA from 1 species